rnacentral:rRNA from 1 species
CCUACGGGUGUGCAGCAGUGAGGAAUAUUGGUCAAUGGGCGCGAGUCUGAACCAGCCAAGUAGCGUGAAGGAUGACUGCCCUACGGGUUGUAAACUUCUUUUAUAAAGGAAUAAAGUGAAGCACGUGUUCCUUUUUGUAUGUACUUUAUUAAUAAGGAUCGGCUAACUCCGUGCCAGCAGCCGCGGUAAGACGGAGGUUCCGAGCGUUAUGCGGAUUUAUUUGUUUUAAAGGGAGCGUAGAUGGGUUGUUAAUUCAGUUGGGAAAGUUUGCGGCUCAACCGUAAAAUUGCAAUUGAUACUGGCAGUCUUGAGUACAGUUGAGGUAGGCGGAAUGCGUGGUGUAGCGGUGAAAUGCUUAGAUAUAACGAAGAACUCCGAUUGCGAAGGCAGCUUACUAAACUGCCACUGACAUUGAUGCUCGAAAGUGUGGGUAUCAAACAGGAUUAGAUACCCGAGUAGUC